rnacentral:rRNA from 1 species
CAGUAGCCGCGGUAAGACAGAGGAUGCAAGCGUUAUCCGGAAUGAUUGGGCGUAAAGCGUCUGUAGGUGGCUUUUCAAGUCCGCCGUCAAAUCCCAGGGCUCAACCCUGGACAGGCGGUGGAAACUACCAAGCUGGAGUACGGUAGGGGCAGAGGGAAUUUCCGGUGGAGCGGUGAGAUGCGUUGAGAUCGGAAGGAACACCAACGGCGAAAGCACUCUGCUGGGCCGACACUGACACUGAGAGACGAAAGCUAGGGGAGCAAAUGGGAUUAGAUACCCCAGUAGUCCCUGUCUCUUAUAC